AGUUUUGCUCUCCACAAUCCAAACGUAUCUAAAGCUCUGUUUUUACGAGGCCACCUUGACUCACUAUAAGGUAGGUCUACCCGUUCAUGAUCCACAUAGACCCUUUCCACUGGUGGCAAAGAGCGAAAGUGAGGGUUCGCGGAGGUGGGGGAAGCAAGGCUGGCCGCCAUUGAAAGAACAAAAUUAAAUCCUAAGGGAGGAAAAAACAAAACAAAAUAAAACAAAAGCCAGGAACGGAUCUUACUUUAAAGUGAUUUCUGAACGCGCCUUUUCAAACUCGUGGCCACCGAGGGCCACGCGCAUGGCGGCCGCGCCUAAGUCCUGUGACUAAUUCCAUUUGACCUGAGCUUGAGGGGUUUUGUGAGUCCUGACAUUCACUGUAAAGUCGUCGUUAUCUUUAAGUUUAUGUCGGAGAAAACAUUCCCAUUCUUAAACCGCACUUCAGCUUUCUGCCUUUCUCUUUCCAGGGAAGAAGGUGCACACCUUUAAUCCUGGCAUCCAAUUGGUAAAGGCAAGAGGAUCUCUGAGAGUUCGAGACCAGCCUACUCUAGGCAGUGAGUUCCAGGCUGGCCAAGUCUGCAAAGUAAGACCCUGUCUCAAAAAGCAAAACCAAAGAAAAAAGAUAAGAGGAGACUCGGGCUAGGGGGUCAGGUCCUACUCUGCUUUGCAGCACCAGGCUGCUGCAGAUCCAGCCCCAGCCCCAGGCCCUAGCCAGAGAAGCUGAGUGUCCCUUUUGGUUAGGCAAGUAAGUGCCUUUAGGACCUCCUGGCUCUCAACAGACCUCUCCAGCCGGGGAGUGUCUAGACUAAGGAAACUUGGGCCACCUGGCGAGGAGCUUCACAGCUCUCAGGGAAUGAAAGUGGUGCCAGCUUCAGGGUUGCAGGAUGCUAAGGCUGCCUUUUGCAAGCUGCAAACCCACAGGCUUUGGUCCUCCGCACCGCACUGGAACAUGGAGAAAGUACACUAGAAGAGGCGGGCAGUUCCCUGAGUAGGAGGCUACAGGGACUUGCACCCACCCAUCCCCACCCCCAACCCCAGGCUUCUCCCGGUCGGGAGGAGAAUGCUGUCUGGACUGGCAACGGAGGAGUGCUCCAGGCACAGCCAGAAAGCGUUUCUACAGCUCCAGCCUCUAUUAAGAUAACGCUAAGGGGCUCACCUUUAGAAUAGGCCCAAGGAGCUACCAGCGGCCCCAACCGUUUCUAGCACGCCCCCCUUCCUUUCACACUCGCUCCCCUCUUUUUCCUAGAAAAUCCUCCUAUUGUGCCAAUCAAGCAGAUGGUUUCUAGAAAAUAUAGCUUGGCCUCGCUGACCGAAACUAAUUUUAACUAGCUUUCCAGGCCUGCAACGUUUGUUUUGCUCUUACAAAAUAGCUCCCAAAACAGCUGGCAAGGGUGAAUUAAACCCAUUAAAGACACGUUUAUAAGAAAUUAUAUUCACAUAGAUUGCCUGAACCCCCUUGUGCAGCCUAAGAGAGAGGAGUGUUAUUUAAAUGAAAAUGUCGCCAAAGGCUCCCCUCCUUCUCAUAGCCUGAAAGUCUCAAAACAUUUUACUAAAUAGAUUAACUUGACCAUUGUCUCCCAUCACAUUGAUCAGCUUCAUUAAGUGAAUAGCUGAACAAAUAUAUUAGGCAUGCAUGAAAAGCUCUUUUUCCAAGGCCCUUAUUGUAUCCUCAGCCCUGACAGGUGGUUAACUGUGUGUUGUGUUUUUUUGUGUUUUCUUUUCUUUUUCCUUUUAAUUUUUUUUUUAAUUCAAAGAAAAAGGCUCUCUGUAGGGCAGCCCAGUGCAGUGGUACUGGCUUGGUAGUCCCCCUGAGCCCCCCCCUCCUUCCCAGGGAUGCAAAGCCCUAGAGUGCUAGGCAGUACAUCAGAGCCCACUGGAAAUGAUCAAAAUUAAACCUUGGUGAGCCGAGGCUUCAGUGCCUUUCUAUCACCUCCCCCAUCCCCCCACCACCUUAUCUGAGAAAUUAAGUUCAAAGUUUACACUCUUAGUCUUGAAGAUAAACUCCCUUCUCUUUUCCUCGAUUGCCUAAUUCUAAUCUUUGAAUUUAAAAAUAGUCUCUCUCUCUCUCUCUUUCUCUCUCUCUCUCUCUCUCUCUCUCUCUCUCUCUCUCUCUCUCUGUGUGUGUGUGUGUGUGUGUGUAAGUCAGAGGACAACUGGCAGGAGUUGGUUCUGUCCUACCAGAUGGGUGGGUCCUGAGAAUUGAAGUCAGGGUAUCUGGCUUGGGGGCAAGCGCCUUACCAGCCCAGUUCUUGCCUUUUAACUCAUGUUUGCAUGAGUUCGCUUAUGGUGUGUCUGUAAAGAAAGUCCUCUUCCCCCGAGCCUCAGUGGAUCCAUGGGUGAGAUAAAAGGUUGUUUCAUAGAGCUC
rnacentral:lncRNA from 1 species